AUCACAGUGUCUUUCAUGUGGGGUUGAACUGAAAGGAAAUUUAGCACAAAGAUGCCGUGGAUGAGGAUAGUCUCUGCAUGCAAUCUGUCCCUUUUGUCCAACGACAAGAACAUCGCCAUCGCUGGCCGCAUCAUCAACGACAUCCACUGGCUUAUCUGGGUCGCCAUCCAAAACCAUACAAUCAUCAUCGUCAACAUCUUUCACCG
rnacentral:misc_RNA from 1 species